GAUGGAGCAGCAGUCAUGAUGGGGAAAAAAGAAUGGUGUUGGUAUGUAUGUCUGUGCUUUUUUUAUUAAAGCAUGUUGCUUUCUAGUGUUUUAAUUUUUACUUAGAUUUGUUGUAAAGUUGUUUUUGUGCAAGGUUGAAUCUUCUUAACUUGUAGUUUUUUUUUUUUUUUUAAACUUAUUAUAUAUCGAUUACCACUUUAGGUAAAAUAAAGUUUCAUAGUUCGGAUAUAUAUAUUUUACUAACUACUUCAAAUUAUUUAUAACAGGUGUCCAGCUAUCACAGCAUUGUAAGAUGUUAUUGCAUGUGCAUUGCCAUGCACACAGAUUGGCACGAGCUGUAUCCCAGAGUGCAAAUAAGGUUGAGGCACUGAAAAAGUAUCAACUGGACCUUUCCCAAAUAUUCAACUACUACAACAACUCUCCUGUGAGGCUUCCCAUAGUUUGGGAGUGACAAGGGAUACAUUGACUGCCGUGCAGUCCAGUGUGGACGCGGUGGCAAGAUCUAAGAAACUGCAGGAAGUGCCAGUUGAGGAUGGCAAGAUUAGGUGGAUGAAUGUGGAGUUGAAGAAGAGUGAACAGGAUUCAUCAAAUAAAUUCUCUCCAACCUGGAUAAGAGAUUCCUGACUCUGCUGUGUCCUUCCUGAAAGACUUGAUCUUCUGCUGAAUCCAAAACACCUGAAGGCACUAUCACCUCAGGACGUUGCCACUUGGGGGCAGGACACGCUAGCAACAGUUGCGCAACAUCUGCCAGAAGCUGCAGAGUUCCAGGAAGAAUGGGCUGUGCAUGACUUUAUGGCCAUGCAAGAACCUCUGCUCAAUUGACCUUGCCUGGCUUUGUAGAGGAACUCGUUGUCAAUUUCAGGGAUUAUUAUCCUGACUUUUGCAUUGAUGGCUGAAUUUUUCAUCUACGUUCCAUUGCAUUUUGUGUCGUGUGAAAGAGGGUUCAGUGCCCAAAACAUUGUGAAAAACAAAAGGAGAAAUAGGUUAACUCCUAAAAGGAGAAUCAGCUGCUGAUGGUUGCGAUUAAUGGUCCUCGUCAGCCAGAGAAAUUUGAUUUUUGGGCGGCAGCGUCAAAGUUUUGAUCCAUGAGGGAAAGAAGAAAGUGAAUGAAUGUUUAUAACUGAAUACAUUUAUAUAUGCAUAAAAAUGUGUUUUCUUUUGUGUGAUUUCUUUAAUGAAUUAAGUAACGUCUAUGACAACCUUUUUCCAAAACACAAUAUAGAA